UUGAACGCUGGCGGCAGGCCUCACACCUGCAAGUCGCGCGGAUGAAGGGAGCUUGCUCCUGGAUUCAGCGGCGGACGGGUGAGUAAUGCCUAGGAAUCUGCCUGGUAGUGGGGGAUAACGUCCGGAAACGGGCGCUAAUACCGCAUACGUCCUGAGGGAGAAAGUGGGGGAUCUUCGGACCUCACGCUAUCAGAUGAGCCUAGGUCGGAUUAGCUAGUUGGUGGGGUAAAGGCCUACCAAGGCGACGAUCCGUAACUGGUCUGAGAGGAUGAUCAGUCACACUGGAACUGAGACACGGUCCAGACUCCUACGGGAGGCAGCAGUGGGGAAUAUUGGACAAUGGGCGAAAGCCUGAUCCAGCCAUGCCGCGUGUGUGAAGAAGGUCUUCGGAUUGUAAAGCACUUUAAGUUGGGAGGAAGGGCAGUAAGUUAAUACCUUGCUGUUUUGACGUUACCAACAGAAUAAGCACCGGCUAACUUCGUG
rnacentral:rRNA from 1 species